AUUGAACGCUGGCGGCAUGCCUUACACAUGCAAGUCGAACGGUAACGCGGGGCAACCUGGCGACGAGUGGCGAACGGGUGAGUAAUGCAUCGGAACGUGCCCAGUAGUGGGGGAUAGCCCGGCGAAAGCCGGAUUAAUACCGCAUACGACCUAAGGGUGAAAGGGGGGGAUCGCAAGACCUCUCGCUAUGGGAGCGGCCGAUGUCAGAUUAGGUAGUUGGUGGGGUAAAGGCCUACCAAGCCGACGAUCUGUAGCUGGUCGGAGAGGACGACCAGCCACACUGGGACUGAGACACGGCCCAGACUCCUACGGGAGGCAGCAGUGGGGAAUUUUGGACAAUGGACGCAAGUCUGAUCCAGCCAUGCCGCGUGCGGGAAAAAGGCCUUCGGGUUGUAAACCGCUUUUGUCAGGGAAGAAAUCUUCUGGGUUAAUACCUCGGGAGGAUGACGGUACCUGAAGAAUAAGCACCGGCUAACUACGUGCCAGCAGCCGCGGUAA
rnacentral:rRNA from 1 species